UUCGAUUAGCUUUGAAGAGACCGGGCAAAGGGAGAGGAGAGGUGGCAUUUUUUCCAUGUUGGAUAUGGUAAGGGUAGGGGGUGGUGGCAUUCAUUUGUACAUACGGAGGGCAUGGUCAUUGUGUAUUUGUGUGAGCUGAGCUCGGCCCAUCGUUGCUGCUCAUGUACAUGUAGGCUAAGAAAGAUGAGAUGUGAUGAGUUGAGUAAAUAUAGAAAGGAAAUUUU
rnacentral:lncRNA from 1 species